rnacentral:lncRNA from 1 species
UUAGACAACCCUCUUCCCCCGCUGACAGGUAUGCUAUCACUGUUCUGAUUGGACAAAUUGCAUAAACAAAAAAUAAUGAGAAGCAAUCCUGCAAAUUGAUAUAAGAAAUUUGGUAGGCAACAACAGAUACCUCAUGUUGGCAUGUCUCUUGGUCAGAUUAGGCCAUUCCUAAGAUGUGUUGUACUCUAGAUCUGGAUCUCACUUCUUCUUUCACUUCUUAUUUCAUCAAUAUCCUUUCUUUGUCCUUUUGUAGCCUCUUUAAGGAUGCUUGCGACUUUUCCAACGUCGAGGGAAGAUAGU